rnacentral:rRNA from 1 species
CUGGCAUGAUUGACAGAUUGAGAGCUCUUUCUCGAUUCAGUGGACGGUGGUGCAUGGCCGUUCUUAGUUGGUGGAGUGAUCUGUCUGGUUAAUUCCGAUAACGAACGAGACUCUCCUCUGCUAAAUAGUCGGCUGGAUCUUGAAUUGCUGAGUUGCUCACUGCCGCGUUCGCGCGUGUCUGCGCUCUUGCGUUUUGCGGUUGUCGUUAGCCUUCACGGGCGGCGGUGGCUUGCGGGCGCUUGUCGGCGUGGCGCGUUGCGGGCGCGUGUCUGUGGCACUCCAAGUCCGUCGGCUCACGCCCGCUAUUGCGGGUUGUGUGGUACAAGUUCUUCUUAGAGAGAUUGACGGCUCUGAAGCCGUACGAGAAUGAGAGCAAUAACAGGUCUGUGAUGCCCUCAGAUGCCCUGGGCCGCACGCGCGCUACAAUGCUGGACACAGCAGGUCUAGCCUGCUCCGAGAGGAGCGGGUAACCCUGUCAAAGUCCUGAGUUGUGUAUCGAGCAUCACUUCGUGGUGCAUUGGGCGUGCUUGGGCCUGGGGCUUGCAAUUCUUUCCCACAAACAAGGAAUGCCUUGUAGUGGCGAGUCACUGAGCUCGCUGUGACUCAGUCCCUGCCCUUUGUACACACCGCCCGUCGCUACUACCGAUUGGGUGUACCAGUGAGAACCUUGGACUGGCGUCCGGUGCCUCGCGCACCUGGGUCUGACGGAAAGAGGUUCGAACUGGUGCACUUAGAGGAAGUAAAAGUC